rnacentral:lncRNA from 1 species
AACUCCGCCUACAUGUCACUGUGUUUGCACUACUUCCUGUACAUACACCCCAAGGGGUGUGUUUUUCUCAAUCAAUGUUACAACUGGAGUGGAAAUCUCAUGCCGCCCCCUCAGCAGAAGCCGUUUCACUUGCUGGCAGCAGGUAGGGGUGAUGGAGCUCCAGAUGGACUCAGCACUUGAGGCUUGCCCAUGUGGCAGAAUACCUAUGGCUUUAGGACAGGAUCUCAGGAGCCAAAGGACAUUCAAGUGUGUAGGUGCAACUUUUAUAUGCAAAAAAACUAGCAUUUCAUAAGAACUUUAGAAAAAGAUGGAUGUGUG